CAGCAAGGCAGGGGAGGGCUGAGCUUGUCCUCAGGGUGGAAUGAUGAAUCUGCAUGUCCAUGUUUAAUCAGAAGUAAGAUACUUCAAUAAAGAUGGGCAAAUGAGGAUUGAGUAAAAAUUUACAAAAUGUGGAACCCGGCAUAGUGGAUUACAUCUAUAAUCCUAGCACUCUGGGAGGCUGAGCCAGGAAGAUCAGAAGUUUGAGCCCAGCCUAGGCAACUUAGC
rnacentral:lncRNA from 1 species